ensembl:lncRNA
UUUUGUUCACAUUGUAUAAAUCAAGUAAGUUUAUUUUUUUAAUAUUUUUUUUGGCUAAUGGUGUGCCUAUUUUGGUCUCCAAGAAUAACUUCUCAAAAAAAGAGACUUAAUUUUUUGACUUUGCCAAAAUGAUAACACAAGAGACGUUAAGUGGUGCUAAUCCAGUGCUACAUUAGCCUAUUCCGCUGCAGGAACAUAGUGGGAGGUAGCCCUAAACAUUUACAGUUAUAGUCUUGUGGUUGGCCUUUUCAGUCUUAUUUUUCCAUUGCUUUAUAGGCUUAAAAAACCCAACAAUGUAAUUUUUUUUUUAAUGCCUUCGCCUGCAUUUUAAAUGCAAUCAGUUCGCAUUAAGGCAUACUGUUGUUCUUUCAGGACCACCCAGAAGUCUCCCAGGCUACACACUUUUUGUCCUACAAAAACAUCCUCGUUUCCAUACUCCUAACAAGUUCUUGUAGUGGAAGAUGUCCUAUACCCUGGUGUAAAGUUAGUUUAGGACAUUAUGUCCACUGUAAAUGUGUAUGUACAUAGAACACCUGCUGUUACUGGCAGGUUCUGCUCAACAGUUAAGGCUGAUUCCUAAACACAGAUGGUCAAACCAAGCACCAAGAUAGGUGUUAGAUGCAAAUUCUUUUAGUUUAGGAAUGAGGCUUAAUUUCACCUGGUAGCCUGUCAUAGCACUGUACAGUUAAACUUCUCAUCCACACUGAUCACAGAUCCACCGUGCUGCCAUGUAGCAGCAGUAACUACAAGUUUAAAAGUCUAGGCAUGGGAGUUCUGUCAAAAAAUAAAUAAAAACUGUAAAUGCUGCUAAAUCACAAACUAUUGACUUCCAUACCAACUACCGAACUGUCAGGAGAAGAGGAAUCUCACUCCACACACAGUUACUGCAUUUUCGUCCUUCAGUUCACCACGGACUCGGCAUGUUUCUCCAUGAUUUAGCAUGUCUUUCUGGCUUGCACUGAUGAUAGAAGAUUUCCAUGCCAAGCCAUGUAUUAAACUCGGAUGCAUCUCCAUAAUCCAAAAUGCCUCACCUGUCUUCCUUUGUCAGUUGUAAUAUUCUGGAGUUUUAUAUACUAGCGUGGCAGAAGGUCAAUGGGAGGCCACAAUUUUGAGACUAUUGAGAUGCACCCGUUGUCAUUCCUUUUCAGAAAGCCACAUCUACCAGGCGGGGCUUCUUAUCCACAGAAUGGCGAGACAAAUAUCACACUACUUGGCGAUAGCUAUUAACCAAACUGUAUGGAUGAUGGUCCUUUAAGUCUGGGACACUGUAGGGACUUCUACAUGCAUCUCCCAGAAACUACCACCAUUGUUGGAGUGGGUUGGGGAUGUUUUAGUGUGGCUUGUUUAAAAUGUUGAAUACUUCUGGCCUGUUUGGGAGGGCAACACAUUACAACCGCGUAGGUGGCGACGUUGUAGAACCCACACAAUUCUUUCGGUAAGAGACUUUCCAUUUCUAUGUCUGACGCGAAAUGGUGCAGACCCCAGAGAAAGCCCACAGACGGAGCCGUUUAACUUCAAACUGUCUCUAGAUCUGUUUUAUUCUGUCAUGUGUUUCCAGGAAGCUAACUUGACGCUGGUGAAUCUCCAGGGUACAUGUUGUAUAAAUUGCAAAAUUACUAGAAUGUUCAUAUUAGAUUAUAAGAUAUUAUUAAGGGCAAUGAAUAUUAUAUUGUAUCUUCAUCGAUG